GAUGAACGCUGGCGGCGUGCCUAAUACAUGCAAGUCGAGCGAACGGACGAGAAGCUUGCUUCUCUGAUGUUAGCGGCGGACGGGGGAGUAACACGUGGAUAACCUACCUAUAAGACUGGGAUAACUUCGGGAAACCGUAGCUAAUACCGGAUAAUAUUUUGAACCGCAUGGUUCAAAAGUGAAAGACGGUCUUGCUGUCACUUAUAGAUGGAUCCGCGCUGCAUUAGCUAGUUGGUAAGGUAACGGCUUACCAAGGCAACGAUGCAUAGCCGACCUGAGAGGGUGAUCGGCCACACUGGAACUGAGACACGGUCCAGACUCCUACGGGAGGCAGCAGUAGGGAAUCUUCCGCAAUGGGCGAAAGCCUGACGGAGCAACGCCGCGUGAGUGAUGAAGGUCUUCGGAUCGUAAAACUCUGUUAUUAGGGAAGAACAUAUGUGUAAGUAACUGUGCACAUCUUGACGGUACCUAAUCAGAAAGCCCCGGCUAACUACGUG
rnacentral:rRNA from 1 species